CCCUUAGAUGUCCUGGGCUGCACGCGCGCUACACUGAUGUGUCCAGUAAGCACCUAACCUCUUCCGAAAGGAACGGGUAACCUUUGCAAAGCACAUCGUGAUGGGGAUAGAUUAUUGCAAUUAUUAGUCUUGAAUGAGGAAUUCCUAGUAAGCACAAGUCAUCAGCUUGUGUUGAUUACGUCCCUGCCCUUUGUACACACCGCCCGUCGCUCCUACCGAUUGAAUGUUCCGGUGAGCUCUUCGGACUGCGCGGUCUGCAGUUUCUGCGUUCCGUGCGGAAAGUUGCGCAAACCUUAACAUUUAGAGGAAGGAGAAGUCGUAACA
rnacentral:rRNA from 1 species